ACAGAGGUGGCAAGCGUUGUUCGGAAUUACUGGGCGUAAAGGGCGCGUAGGCGGCCUUGUAAGUCUCGUGUGAAAGCCCUCGGCUUAACUGAGGAUCUGCACGGGAUACUGUAAGGCUCGAGUUCGGGAGAGGAAAGCGGAAUUCCGGGUGUAGCGGUGAAAUGCGUAGAUAUCCGGAGGAACACCAGUGGCGAAGGCGGCUUUCUGGACCGACACUGACGCUGAGGCGCGAAAGCUAGGGGAGCAAACGGG
rnacentral:rRNA from 1 species